UGGGGAAUAUUGCACAAUGGGCGAAAGCCUGAUGCAGCAACGCCGCGUGAGUGAUGAAGGUCUUCGGAUUGUAAAGCUCUGUCUUUUGGGACGAUAAUGACGGUACCAAAGGAGGAAGCCACGGCUAACUACGUGCCAGCAGCCGCGGUAAUACGUGGGUGGCGAGCGUUGUCCGGAUUUACUGGGCGUAAAGGGUGCGUAGGCGGAUGU
rnacentral:rRNA from 1 species